AGCGUCAAAAGGGCAUCCGGGGGAUGUCUUGGCGGUAAGAGGCGAUGAAGGACGUGGCACUCUGCGAUAAGCUUCGGGGAGGGGAGAGCACCCUUUGAUCCGAAGAUCUCCGAAUGGGGCAACCCACCGCUUUAGCGGUAUCCCUGUCUGAAUACAUAGGGCAGGGAGGCAAACCCGGCGAAGUGAAACAUCUCAGUAGCCGGAGGAAAGGACAUCAACCGAGACUCCGUUAGUAGUGGCGAGCGAACGCGGACCAGGCCAGUGGCGAUUGGGAGACAAGCGGAACAUUCUGGAAAGGAUGGCCAUAGUGGGUGACAGCCCCGUACGCGUAAUGCAACCAAUCGUCCUCGAGUAAGGCGGGACACGUGAAAUCCUGUCUGAACGUGGGG
rnacentral:rRNA from 1 species